UUAAGCGACUAAGCGUACACGGUGGAUGCCCUGGCAGUCAGAGGCGAUGAAGGACGUGCUAAUCUGCGAUAAGCGUCGGUAAGGUGAUAUGAACCGUUAUAACCGGCGAUUUCCGAAUGGGGAAACCCAGUGUGUUUCGACACACUAUCAUUAACUGAAUCCAUAGGUUAAUGAGGCGAACCGGGGGAACUGAAACAUCUAAGUACCCCGAGGAAAAGAAAUCAACCGAGAUUCCCCCAGUAGCGGCGAGCGAACGGGGAGCAGCCCAGAGCCUGAAUCAGUGUGUGUGUUAGUGGAAGCGUCUGGAAAGGCGCGCGAUACAGGGUGACAGCCCCGUACACAAAAAUGCACAUACUGUGAGCUCGAUGAGUAGGGCGGGACACGUGGUAUCCUGUCUGAAUAUGGGGGGACCAUCCUCCAAGGCUAAAUACUCCUGACUGACCGAUAGUGAACCAGUACCGUGAGGGAAAGGCGAAAAGAACCCCGGCGAGGGGAGUGAAAAAGAACCUGAAACCGUGUACGUACAAGCAGUGGGAGCCUCUUUAUGGGGUGACUGCGUACCUUUUGUAUAAUGGGUCAGCGACUUAUAUUCUGUAGCAAGGUUAACCGAAUAGGGGAGCCGAAGGGAAACCGAGUCUUAACUGGGCGUUAAGUUGCAGGGUAUAGACCCGAAACCCGGUGAUCUAGCCAUGGGCAGGUUGAAGGUUGGGUAACACUAACUGGAGGACCGAACCGACUAAUGUUGAAAAAUUAGCGGAUGACUUGUGGCUGGGGGUGAAAGGCCAAUCAAACCGGGAGAUAGCUGGUUCUCCCCGAAAGCUAUUUAGGUAGCGCCUCGUGAAUUCAUCUCCGGGGGUAGAGCACUGUUUCGGCAAGGGGGUCAUCCCGACUUACCAACCCGAUGCAAACUGCGAAUACCGGAGAAUGUUAUCACGGGAGACACACGGCGGGUGCUAACGUCCGUCGUGAAGAGGGAAACAACCCAGACCGCCAGCUAAGGUCCCAAAGUCAUGGUUAAGUGGGAAACGAUGUGGGAAGGCCCAGACAGCCAGGAUGUUGGCUUAGAAGCAGCCAUCAUUUAAAGAAAGCGUAAUAGCUCACUGGUCGAGUCGGCCUGCGCGGAAGAUGUAACGGGGCUAAACCAUGCACCGAAGCUGCGGCAGCGACACUAUGUGUUGUUGGGUAGGGGAGCGUUCUGUAAGCCUGUGAAGGUGUGCUGUGAGGUAUGCUGGAGGUAUCAGAAGUGCGAAUGCUGACAUAAGUAACGAUAAAGCGGGUGAAAAGCCCGCUCGCCGGAAGACCAAGGGUUCCUGUCCAACGUUAAUCGGGGCAGGGUGAGUCGACCCCUAAGGCGAGGCCGAAAGGCGUAGUCGAUGGGAAACAGGUUAAUAUUCCUGUACUUGGUGUUACUGCGAAGGGGGGACGGAGAAGGCUAUGUUGGCCGGGCGACGGUUGUCCCGGUUUAAGCGUGUAGGCUGGUUUUCCAGGCAAAUCCGGAAAAUCAAGGCUGAGGCGUGAUGACGAGGCACUACGGUGCUGAAGCAACAAAUGCCCUGCUUCCAGGAAAAGCCUCUAAGCAUCAGGUAACAUCAAAUCGUACCCCAAACCGACACAGGUGGUCAGGUAGAGAAUACCAAGGCGCUUGAGAGAACUCGGGUGAAGGAACUAGGCAAAAUGGUGCCGUAACUUCGGGAGAAGGCACGCUGAUAUGUAGGUGAAGUCCCUUGCGGAUGGAGCUGAAAUCAGUCGAAGAUACCAGCUGGCUGCAACUGUUUAUUAAAAACACAGCACUGUGCAAACACGAAAGUGGACGUAUACGGUGUGACGCCUGCCCGGUGCCGGAAGGUUAAUUGAUGGGGUUAGCGGUAACGCGAAGCUCUUGAUCGAAGCCCCGGUAAACGGCGGCCGUAACUAUAACGGUCCUAAGGUAGCGAAAUUCCUUGUCGGGUAAGUUCCGACCUGCACGAAUGGCGUAAUGAUGGCCAGGCUGUCUCCACCCGAGACUCAGUGAAAUUGAACUCGCUGUGAAGAUGCAGUGUACCCGCGGCAAGACGGAAAGACCCCGUGAACCUUUACUAUAGCUUGACACUGAACAUUGAGCCUUGAUGUGUAGGAUAGGUGGGAGGCUUUGAAGUGUGGACGCCAGUCUGCAUGGAGCCGACCUUGAAAUACCACCCUUUAAUGUUUGAUGUUCUAACGUUGACCCGUAAUCCGGGUUGCGGACAGUGUCUGGUGGGUAGUUUGACUGGGGCGGUCUCCUCCUAAAGAGUAACGGAGGAGCACGAAGGUUGGCUAAUCCUGGUCGGACAUCAGGAGGUUAGUGCAAUGGCAUAAGCCAGCUUGACUGCGAGCGUGACGGCGCGAGCAGGUGCGAAAGCAGGUCAUAGUGAUCCGGUGGUUCUGAAUGGAAGGGCCAUCGCUCAACGGAUAAAAGGUACUCCGGGGAUAACAGGCUGAUACCGCCCAAGAGUUCAUAUCGACGGCGGUGUUUGGCACCUCGAUGUCGGCUCAUCACAUCCUGGGGCUGAAGUAGGUCCCAAGGGUAUGGCUGUUCGCCAUUUAAAGUGGUACGCGAGCUGGGUUUAGAACGUCGUGAGACAGUUCGGUCCCUAUCUGCCGUGGGCGCUGGAGAACUGAGGGGGGCUGCUCCUAGUACGAGAGGACCGGAGUGGACGCAUCACUGGUGUUCGGGUUGUCAUGCCAAUGGCACUGCCCGGUAGCUAAAUGCGGAAGAGAUAAGUGCUGAAAGCAUCUAAGCACGAAACUUGCCCCGAGAUGAGUUCUCCCUGACUCCUUGAGAGUCCUGAAGGAACGUUGAAGACGACGACGUUGAUAGGCCGGGUGUGUAAGCGCAGCGAUGCGUUGAGCUAACCGGUACUAAUGAACCGUGAGGCUUAACCUU
rnacentral:rRNA from 1 species